rnacentral:rRNA from 1 species
GAUGAACGCUGGCGGCGUGCCUAAUACAUGCAAGUCGAGCGAAUGACGAGGAGCUUGCUCCUCUGAUUUAGCGGCGGACGGGUGAGUAACACGUGGGUAACCUGCCUGUAAGACGGGGAUAACUCCGGGAAACCGGAGCUAAUACCGGAAGAUAACGAGAAGCGCCUGCUUCUUUUUUGAAAGUCGGUUUCGGCUGACGCUUACAGAUGGGCCCGCGGCGCAUUAGCUAGUUGGUGAGUUAACGGCUCACCAAGGCGACGAUGCGUAGCCGACCUGAGAGGGUGAUCGGCCACACUGGGACUGAGACACGGCCCAGACUCCUACGGGGGGCAGCAGUAGGGAAUCUUCGGCAAUGGACGAAAGUCUGACCGAGCAACGCCGCGUGAGCGAUGAAGGCCUUCGGGUCGUAAAGCUCUGUUGUCAGAGAAGAACAAGUACCGGAGUAACUGCCGGUACCUUGACGGUACUUGACCAGAAAGCCACGGCUAACUACGUGCCAGCCGCCGCAGUAA